rnacentral:rRNA from 1 species
UACGGAGGGAGCUAGCGUUGUUCGGAAUUACUGGGCGUAAAGCGCACGUAGGCGGCGAUUCAAGUCAGAGGUGAAAGCCCGGGGCUCAACCCCGGAACUGCCUUUGAAACUAGGUUGCUAGAAUCUUGGAGAGGCGAGUGGAAUUCCGAGUGUAGAGGUGAAAUUCGUAGAUAUUCGGAAGAACACCAGUGGCGAAGGCGACUCGCUGGACAAGUAUUGACGCUGAGGUGCGAAAGCGUGGGGAGCAAACAGG